AUGUAACACUCAUACACUCCGGCUCCUGUGCGCCGUCCAUGCCCAUCUGACGGCCGUUCGCUACGUUUUGUUAGUC
rnacentral:sRNA from 1 species